rnacentral:rRNA from 1 species
CGCUUCCUACGGGAGGCAGCAGCGGGGGAUAUUGCACAAUGGGGGAAACCCUGAUGCAGCGACGCCGCGUGUGGGAAGACGGUCUUCUGGAUUGUAAACCACUGUCCCCAGGGACGAAAAUGACGGUACCUGGGGAGGAAGCUCCGGCUAACUACGUGCCAGCAGCCGCGGUAAUACGUAGGGCGCAAGCGUUGUCCGGAAUUACUGGGUGUAUAGGGAGCGUAGGCGGGGAUGCAAGGUGGGUGUCAA